CUCACAGAAAUGAUUCAUGGCAGAGUUAAUUUUUAUGCAUUUACAUCUAUUUGACUUUAUUUAAAAACUCAUAUUUUCUAUAUUUAUGCAUUUAAAUGUAUUAUUAUCUAGAUAAUUUAACCAAUUCUAAAAUGUAUUGAAUGUAAUUAGUUAAUACAUACUAACAUGGUUUAAAUAAUCAGAGCCCUAAUACAAACAAGAAUCUGUUAUGUAAAAUGUAUGUGAUUGGUUUUCAUAAAAGUUAUGAGAAGUGAAAUGGGGAAAAUGGAAACGAUGUCCUGCCAGUAGGUGGCGGUAAUGCCCCUUUACGUUGGUUGCCAACUGCUAUAAAACUCGAAGAAGAAGAAGAAAACUAUUAUGGUCUGGACUGGCAGUUGAAUGUGGCUACAACUUACGUCCAUGUGAGAAGGUACCUAGUAUUUUUCUACUUUUCCUAUCCUGUUUUCUCACCUCCAUGUUGCAACAUAGAUUUAGUUCUGCAAAUUGUGUGACAGGUUAUUACCUACUAGGUAUGAGUUAGGUAUGGAUGGUCAGACAGACAACCUGAUCAACCUGAGUGGAGUAAAGCAAGGUGCUGGUGUGGUGAAGAAGAAUGAAGACAUCAAUGUGAGGUGUAAUUGUGUGCUGAGCUUCUGAGCAUCUACCUCAGUGAAGACCUGGACACAUUGGUUAAAGAAUACAUGGCAGCUGAGGAUCUGAGGCAGUACAUAAAGCUGAAGCCAGAUGUCAAAAGGUGAGCGGUAAAUGGGGAGACAGAAGAUUAGGAUAAACAAUGGUUGGUCCUUUCUCUUCCCUAUCAUCCUCCAUCCAACUCAACCAUGAGUGAAGGUUUGGAGAGGGUUGGAUAGGAGAGGAGUAAACCUUACCCUUAUCCAGGAGCUUAUGAGAGAGGAGGUCAAAGGCUUCAUUGGGAAAAGAGCAGUCUCAACAGUCUCGCCAGAAAUCCCUGUAUUAAAGUGAGGAGAUCAACCUCAGUGGGGGAUCAACCCAGAAACAUGACAUUGAAUCCAGAGAGGCUGAGGCUCGCAUUGUAGAGAAGACUAUGGGCAUCUACACUGUCUGAGCAGAGGGACAUUGUUCUGAUUGUCCAGGUGAUGGACGCUUUGCUGAUGUUGGUGUUGUGCUGGAUGGCGUGGACGUUCUCCUUAACCUGAAGAGUGUCAGCCAUGCAUGCGUGAUGCUUUAUGGGCAGAUUUAUGCACUCAACUUGAGCUAUCCAAAAAGCCUGAAGCGUACAUUUGAGGUGUACCAGAAAACCCUGAUGGACCUGGACUCAACUAAGCUUACACCAAAAGUGCAUGCACUGAAACUCAAAUUGUUCCAGUGAUUCGGUUGGCAAAUACCACCUCCCCCACACACAGUAAGACCGGAUUUUGUUAAAAUGGUCCCUUGGUUCUUGAAGGUUACGCCAGGGAAAUAGCUGUUUAAUAAAUUUGUACAUUGGUUGUCGAAGCAUUCAAAUUUUGUUGAAAGAUCAGUUAUGUAGAUAUGAAAAACUGUUCAUUGGUGCAGGGAAAAUUGUAGGAAAGGAGGCAAACCUCUCCCUCUCUUCUACCCUCUGCCUUCUCCACUCACCUCCUCUCUCUGAGCUCUUGUAGGGGUAAGGUUUACUCCUCUCCUAUCCAACCCUCUCCAAACCUUCUCAUUGGGGAUGGGUAUUUUCCAGAUUUUUCUUCAACACCUCAUUGGUAGAAUCCGCAGAGCCCUGACAUCUAAAACGAGGCAUUAAUAACUUUUAAAAAUGCACAAGUUUAUUUAAAACAAAGUUUACAAGUUUUUACUACUGCCAAAGUCAAUUUUACACUGGAGUUCUCCAUGUUUGUUAAACAAUAUUUGUUAAACAAAAAAGUACUUCAGUAAUAUUGAAGGAAAAUUAUGACUGAAAUGUGAUUUUAAGAAAUUAUAAUUUUGUGUCUCUUAUGUUCAGCUUUAUUAUUAAUAAAGCUUUGUUUAAUCAACAAGAGGGUCUGAUUGUUCUUAUUAUGAUUGUACUGAUUGGAAAUGAAUUACAUAAAUGUGAUGCAUUUUGAUUCAUUUGUUUUAUUCCUUAAACAUAGACGUUUAAUUCAAAUAAAUAUAUGCAAUUCAUUUUGAAUAGGUAACCUGGUUACGCUUAUUAUAAUUCAAACUGUAUAUUUUAUGUAUUUAAAAUAAAUACUCAUUGUUAUUCAUUUAGAGUAAUUAUACUUUAUUAAUACUCAUUACAUAAACCUGAUUAUUAUGCAUUUAAAAUAAAUAAGCUGUAUUACACGAAUGCAUAUGCAUCACAUACGGCCUAUUUGAUAGGUUUGUGUUAAAAUUACAAAAAAAAAGUAAAUGGGAAUUUGUCAUGUAAUAAAAUUACAUAAAUCUUAAAAGUUAGGGUUAAAUAUUUCUGUGAGUGUA